GCUAUACUAUACAUAUGUAGGAGUGCUUAAAUGGAGAGUUUCUUCAAGUUGGUCUCAAGUUUGUUCCACUAGCUGGAUAUCACUGGUUUGAUGGAGAUGGGUAUAUAUAUUGACUUCAUUAUUCUAAAAACUUAUUUAAUGAGUAUAUAUAUUGACGUCUUCAACAAGAAGAAUACUUUGGAGCUCCCAAAUUCAUGAAGAUUGGAGACCUGAAAGGGCAUUUUGGAUUACUCGCGGUGAUCAUGCAAAUUCUGAGAGCAAAGCUCAAAGUAUUAGAUCUUUCGUAUGGAAAUGGAACAGGAUGCUGUGGACGUCCAUGAUAGUUUAGCUGCUGAAGUUGAACAUGGUGAUGCUUCCAGAAAGGAAAGGUCCUCAGUUCAAGGUGUAGAACAGUAACUAGAAUGACAGGUGAACUUCAUUGGAUUCAAUAGUCAUUACGUUAUGAGGAUGAUGAAGAAUGUACUUAUCAAUGCCCCUCAUAUCAAGCAUUUCUUGUCGAAACAGUUCACCUCCAACAAACCAUAUACUACUCAAGAAAUUGACGAAGUUAGAGAAGAAUGGGCAAUGUCAUAUUUACAAUUGGUUAGAGCAAAAUGAAUGAUAUUAUAGCUAGCUAAUUACAAUACAUGUUUAGAAAUUUUAAAUUUAUUUCGUAAAAUUUUUUUGCCAUUUUUUUAGUAUUUUCUUUUCAAAAUUCUUUUGAUACAUAUUCGACACUCAAAUGGAUAUAUAUUUUUAAAUCAAAAUUAAAAUUGUAGC